UACGUAGGGUGCGAGCGUUAAUCGGAAUUACUGGGCGUAAAGUGUGCGCAGGCGGUCGUUCAAGUCGCGUGUGAAAGCCCCCGGCUCAACUGGGGAGGGUCACGCGAUACUGAUCGACUCGAAGGCAGGAGAGGGUAGUGGAAUUCCCGGUGUAGUGGUGAAAUGCGUAGAUAUCGGGAGGAACACCAGUGGCGAAGGCGACUACCUGGCCUGUUUCUUGACGCUGAGGCGCGAAAGCUAGGGGAGCAAACGGG
rnacentral:rRNA from 1 species